rnacentral:lncRNA from 1 species
CAUUUGACAAAAAAAAUGUUUACGUAUGUGAUAUGUGUACUACUAAGGUCUCCAGUGUUUCCAAGAAGAUCUGGCUUGGUCAAAAACGGGGUCCAAAAUGCUACAAGUAUUAAGGGAAGAAAAACACAGAAACUGGAGCAAGAACUCCAGCAGGGGGCAACAAAGAGGUCUUCAUCCCAGAUCUCAGUCUCUCAGUGGGGAUCAAAGAGGUCGGAGGAGGAGAAACAUCCAACCAACCUGAAGAACCACAGCAAGACAAGCCAGCCAAAGUAAUACUCCUCAACCAAACGUACAACAGGACAAAUUUCCCCUGGGCUACAAUGAUGGAACAUUCCUUGCGAGGCAGGUUGAGGUUUGUGACUCAGAUUUGGAAGACACGAAAGGGUUCAUUUGAGGAGGAGAGGGGAGCCAACUUCUGGAGUGAUGAUAAUCCAUUGUGAAAAUCCAUACUGCACUGACAACUUUACUAAAUGCACCUUAAUUACCAUUUAUUAUGAAUUAUACAGUACAGCU